rnacentral:rRNA from 1 species
GACGUAGGGCGCGAGCGUUUGUCCGGAUUUAUUGGGCGUAAAGAGCUCGUAGGCGGCUUGUCGCGUCGACUGUGAAAAACCCGUGGCUCAACCAUGUGGUCUGCAGUCGAUACGGGCAGGCUAGAAUUCGGUAGGGGAGACUGGAAUUCCUGGUGUAGCGGUGAAAAUGCGCAGAUAUCAGGAGGAACACCGGUGGCGAAGGCGGGUCUCUGGGCCGAUAUUGACGCUGAGGAGCGAAAGCGUGGGGAGCGAACAGG